CGGCCGCAGUACUCUGACUGUGCAAAGGUAGCAUAAUCAAUUGACUUUUAAUUGGAGUCUAGUAUGAAUGGAUUUACGUAAAAGUUCUGUCUCAAUUAAAAUUUUCUAAAAUUUUUUAGAAGGUGAAAAAACUUUCAGUAUUUAAAAGACGAGAAGACCCUAAGAAUUUUAAAAAAAUUAGUCUAUCUUUUUUGCUGGGGCGGCAGUGGAUCAAGGAACAUCCAUAUUAUCGAGUUUUCGUGUUUUAAAUUACCUUAGGGAUAACAGCACAAUUGU
rnacentral:rRNA from 1 species